UAUUAUGUUCUGUAUAUUUUCCAUUUGUAGGACCUUGUUUUAGUUAAUUCUCAGAUGAUAAGGAGCAUUUAGAUAAGUGCAAAACCAAGAAAGGACAUUUUUGUUUAUAAAAUGUACCUACAUAUUUACAAAUAUGUAUGUGUGUUUUCUCCAUAGGAAACAAAACUGGACAGUUAACCAGAACUUAAGACAAAGCCAGGAAAUAAUGCUCAGGACAAGAAACUCAGCACUACACACCAUGCUGUUUGGGAGAUGAAAGUCCCCAGCUCUCUGAGGCUCGUGUGGGAGAGUUUCCUACUCAAUCUGUGUUCUCCUGAAGCCAUUCCCAAAGACCUCACUUAUGCAAAUAAACUAUUGCAGCAAGUUCCUCCACCUCCACUUGUCUCACUCAAAUUUAUGUAUAAAUUCUGAACCUCCACAGUUCACUUUUUCUUCUACCCUGAAUAUUUCUAGCUGUAUUGAUGACCAAUUUUUCCAUAUUUGGUUAUUCAAAGCAAAAGCUAAACACACAAAGCAACAGGAACCCAGUCUCAUUUCCGCUGGUAACCCCUCGUGACCUAGUUUCACUGACUGGAAGCAAUCAGCAUGCAUUUAUGAAGAGUAAAUUCUGCCAGACCUAAACACUGACUUAUAUGAUAAAAACUAUGUUUGUGAUUGAGGGAAGAGCAGUGGUUAUCAUUUGCACUGAUUUUAACAUGUUUUUUCACAUAGGCUUGGCAAAUGCCAAGUUCCAUACUUUUGAAGGAAAAAGCCCCUGCAGUGACACAGGUCAGGGACUGCAUCACCAAGGAGCUGCUCUGUGGAAAGAAAGGACCUGGAUUCUGGGGACAGCAAGCUGCGUAGGAGCCAGCAGUGUGACCUGGCAGCAAUGGUGGGCAACAGCUUCUUGGGCUGCACUGACACUAGCAGAGACAACAUCUGCAGACAAGUGAUUGUCCUCCUCUUGUGGCACUUGUUAGAACACAUGUAGGCAUCGUGUCUAGUUAUGGACUCACUUUUACAAGUCUGACAUCAGCAAACUGGAGCAGGUCCAGCAGAAGUAAUCAAGUUCAUGGCUAGAGGGCUUGUCCUGUGUGAGGAGGCCAAAGGUUGGUAUUUACUUGGUUUGGUGAAAAGACAGGUUGGGGGGAUGGAGGUGUUAAUGAUGACCCAGAAGGUUGGACUAGAGACCUCCUGAGGACCAUUCCCACCUGACUUAUCCUGUUGUAGCUAUCCCGUGACUUAUCUUAAAGUAUUUUCUGAUAGUGAACAGCAGUCUAUGGCCAUACGACUUGUUUCUAUAUAGAUCCUGUAUUAGGAGUGAUGGAGGAAACUUGCUGCUUGCUCAGUGUAUUUGUUGGAAGCAUACUAUGACCACUGAUCUCCAUGUUGCCAGUGAGCUCUGGAAUAAAGGGUUACCUGGAACAUAGAAAAUGUCAAAUUACACAGAGAGUGAGACUUUGAAAUAACAAUGCAGUAGUAGAGGGAAGACUGCUGAAAUAGUUUUAAAAUAGAGCUUGAUAAAUUUCUGAACAGGAUUACAUGAUACAAUUGCCAGUAAUGGCAGAGACAGAAUUCAAUAAUCUAGGAGUCUGCCCAAGCUAACAUCUUUUGUUUUGACAAAUAUAAGGCCAAGCUCCUCAUCUUCAAGAAUAAAUAAAUGAAAAAUUAAACAUACUAAAUAUUGUAAAUAUUUAAUUGGCACUUCAUACUGAGAAAUUGAAAGCAGUCUUUUGUCCAGUUCAAAGUUAUUGGAGUUCGUAGCUGUGAUAACCAUGAUAACAAAUGUUAUUUAUAUUCUAGUGCAAAUAGAUAUCAGAACAAAAAUGAACAAAUAUAGACAAACCUAAUUAAGCUGUGAUUGGUUUAUUCAUAUCACAGCAGCUGAAGGUUAUAUGAUAACCAGCUACAGAGCAGGUGCAGCACAUAUAUCAUUGGCCUGAUUAUUAAAAAUCAGUACUUCAUUCAACUCCAAAUUAAAAAGGAGAUUGUAUACAGAUUCAGAGAAAGUCAGUCAUGUUAUAUUGUAUGGCAUUGUAACAAAACAAAAAAAAUAAUUUUCUUUGUGAAGUAAUUGCAUAGUUCCAGUUUAUCAUGAUAAAUCAAGCCAGAACCUGACCACAGGAAGAUCGAAACAAAUUCAAAAUGUUCUCUAUGAUGCAAGGACAGGGAUAUAAUCUAGGGAGGGUCAAAUUUAGAAUAAUAACACAUAUUUUUAUAGCCAAGUCAUUGAAACUUUGUACAGCAAACUGCAAUAUCGGUGGAAGGAAAGACAUGUUUCCACAGUUGCAUGCCGUUGAAAGGCAGCAUUUUUCUGAGAUACUUGCCAAAGAUCUAGCUGGCGCCAGGGGAACCACAGCCAAAGUUGCGUUUAUACCUCUCUUGGUUUUAAUAGUGUCAAUUCACAACUCCAAUGGGCAAUCUUGUACUUACCAUGAAGAUAUACGGAAUGCCACUGACCUCGAGCAGCAGGUUUGGAAGGGCCCUGAGCACUCAUGAAAAGGGGUGAGCCUAGAAAACCUGGAAGCAGGAGGGAAGAGUGCAGUGCUCAAUGUCCUACUGCUGCUGGUACCACUGGAAGAUAUUACAGAGAGGCAAGCCCACAUCUCCAUAGCAUGGUUGGUGUGGUUCUCAGCAAAAUUGUAGUUGGAUGUGAUGUGGCUAUUAUGUGCUAAUUUGUGAAGGGUAACGUACAAUUUUAUAUUCACCACACAGCACCAUAAAGUGAAUAAAUACUGCUUAGCCUAUAAUGAAACUCAAUAAAAUCCAGUUCAGCAAUAUCAGGAUUGAUCUCUGUAACUGACGUUGCUAUUUCUACAAACCUCUGAAAAGCUGCCGAGAGUAACGUAUGGAGCAACUGCACAAUUUCAGAGUUACAACAGCUUCAACCAGAAGAACCAGAAGAACUGUAACUAGAACAUACAUGGUAGCUUUGAAAUACACAAUCACAGAAAUAUCAUAUCGAGAAAACAGAACAGAAAAACACAUUUGAACCAGAAUAACAUCAGUUAAAGCCAUGAUUGAAAAGCUCUUACAAAUUGCUAUUCUUCAUGUUUGUUUUUUUCUUAAAGAAAAUAACUUUUUUGUUUUGAGUUUUGUAUGCACGGUGCCAGUGCCUUGUGAAGGGAUUACCUCCUGGCAGGCAUUUAAUCAGUGCAGCUGCUAUUAAAAAAGGAAGGGCUUGUUUCAGUCAACCAAACGGGGGUACACAGCACUGUGUGAGAUGCUGAGUCGGUAGCUGACAAGCCAGAAUGGAGAAGGUCUCCCUGAAGUCCUGCAUCCAGCCUAACAGCAUCAGGCAAAACUGUUGGAUAUGCUGGCACAUAUCAAGUGAUAAUAGACAUCUAUCCUCGGGCAAUGCAACUGAACCCUAAAUGUAUAUGUUUAUAUGUUUUACAGGGAAAAAGGAUACAGCAUGGUUUAAAAGUCAUGAUUAUUUCCGUGACACAAGCACAAAUUGCAAAUACUGAUCAAGGAAAAAUUUAUUUACAGAUUUUUCAAAUACAAACAUAAAAUAGCACAUUUAUAUAUAUAUAUAUUUUUACAAAAAUGAAUAUUGAAAUAAUAAACAUGGUACAGCACAAUACAACAUCAAUGAGCUAAACAUAACAGCGACAAAAAUCUAUGUCUGGAAGAAGUUUUCCUGUCAGUCGUACAGAACCAACAGAGUUCUACAGUACUGUAAGUGGAAUUUUCAAUGGACAGAAAAACGUCCAUUUACUGCACUUCAUAAAAGUACUAUAGGCAAAGGCUACAUAUGCCAAGUUAUUAUGUUGCAUUUUUUGUAAUAACGCUGAAAACACAGAGGCUUAAUAAAAGAUCUAUAGGGCUGAAUAAGCAGUGGCUAAAUGUUUGGGGAAGAGAAAUGUGUAGAGAAUAUACAAAAUACUGAAAUACUGAUAAAGUGGCUUAUUGGUCCUUUUAUUAAGUUUAAUGUAUAGAUUAAAAAGUGUUGUAACACUGAAUUUUAAA